rnacentral:rRNA from 1 species
CCGGCACGGGUGAGUAACACGUAUGCAAUCCACCUGUAACAGGGGGAGUAACCCGGCGAAAUACCGGACUAAUACCCAUAAUAUGGGCGCUCCGCAUGGAGAGCCCAUUAAAGAGAGCAAUUUUGGUUACAGACGAGCAUGCGCUCCAUUAGCCAGUUGGCGGGGUAACGGCCCACCAAGGCGACGAUGGAUAGGGGUUCUGAGAGGAAGGUCCCCCACAUUGGAACUGAGACACGGUCCAA